AAGGAAUGCAUUGUGUGAAAUUGUGUUUGUAUGUGUAAGGGCUGCAAGGUGUGUUUCUGUGUAUGUAUGGGAUGCAUUGAAUGUGUGUAAGGGGUGCAUUGAGUGUGUGUAAUGAAUGCAUUGUGUGUUUCUGUGUGUGUAAGGGAUGCAUUGUGUGUAACGGUUGCAUUGCUUGUGUAUGUGUGUGUGUGUGUGUGUGUG